AUUGAACGCUGGCGGCAGGCCUAACACAUGCAAGUCGAGCGGAUGAAGGGAGCUUGCUCCUGGAUUCAGCGGCGGACGGGUGAGUAAUGCCUAGGAAUCUGCCUGGUAGUGGGGGAUAACGUCCGGAAACGGGCGCUAAUACCGCAUACGUCCUGAGGGAGAAAGUGGGGGAUCUUCGGACCUCACGCUAUCAGAUGAGCCUAGGUCGGAUUAGCUAGUUGGUGGGGUAAAGGCCUACCAAGGCGACGAUCCGUAACUGGUCUGAGAGGAUGAUCAGUCACACUGGAACUGAGACACAGUCCAGACUCCUACGGGAGGCAGCAGUGGGGAAUAUUGGACAAUGGGCGAAAGCCUGAUCCAGCCAUGCCGCGUGUGUGAAGAAGGUCUUCGGAUUGUAAAGCACUUUAAGUUGGGAGGAAGGGCAGUAAGUGAAUACCUUGCUGUUUUGACGUUACCAACAGAAUAAGCACCGGCUAACUUCGUG
rnacentral:rRNA from 1 species